GGGUUGUGAGGUUAAGCGACUAAGCGUACACGGUGGAUGCCCUGGCAGUCAGAGGCGAUGAAGGACGUGCUAAUCUGCGAAAAGCGUCGGUAAGGUGAUAUGAACCGUUAUAACCGGCGAUGUCCGAAUGGGGAAACCCAGUGCAAUUCGUUGCACUAUCGUUAACUGAAUACAUAGGUUAACGAGGCGAACCGGGGGAACUGAAACAUCUAAGUACCCCGAGGAAAAGAAAUCAACCGAGAUUCCCCCAGUAGCGGCGAGCGAACGGGGAGCAGCCCAGAGUCUGAAUCAGCUUGUGUGUUAGUGGAACGGUCUGGAAAGUCCGACGGUACAGGGUGAUAGUCCCGUACACCAAAAUGCACAGGCUGUGAACUCGAAGAGUAGGGCGGGACACGUGGUAUCCUGUCUGAAUAUGGGGGGACCAUCCUCCAAGGCUAAAUACUCCUGACUGACCGAUAGUGAACCAGUACCGUGAGGGAAAGGCGAAAAGAACCCCGGCGAGGGGAGUGAAAAAGAACCUGAAACCGUGUACGUACAAGCAGUGGGAGCACCUUCGGGUGUGACUGCGUACCUUUUGUAUAAUGGGUCAGCGACUUAUAUUCUGUAGCAAGGUUAACCGUAUAGGGGAGCCGCAGGGAAACCGAGUCUUAACUGGGCGUUAAGUUGCAGGGUAUAGACCCGAAACCCGGUGAUCUAGCCAUGGGCAGGUUGAAGGUUGGGUAACACUAACUGGAGGACCGAACCGACUAAUGUUGAAAAAUUAGCGGAUGACUUGUGGCUGGGGGUGAAAGGCCAAUCAAACCGGGAGAUAGCUGGUUCUCCCCGAAAGCUAUUUAGGUAGCGCCUCGUGAACUCAUCUUCGGGGGUAGAGCACUGUUUCGGCUAGGGGGUCAUCCCGACUUACCAACCCGAUGCAAACUACGAAUACCGAAGAAUGUUAUCACGGGAGACACACGGCGGGUGCUAACGUCCGUCGUGAAGAGGGAAACAACCCAGACCGCCAGCUAAGGUCCCAAAGUCAUGGUUAAGUGGGAAACGAUGUGGGAAGGCACAGACAGCCAGGAUGUUGGCUUAGAAGCAGCCAUCAUUUAAAGAAAGCGUAAUAGCUCACUGGUCGAGUCGGCCUGCGCGGAAGAUGUAACGGGGCUAAACCAUGCACCGAAGCUGCGGCAGCGACACUAUGUGUUGUUGGGUAGGGGAGCGUUCUGUAAGCCUGCGAAGGUGACCUGUGAGGGUUGCUGGAGGUAUCAGAAGUGCGAAUGCUGACAUAAGUAACGAUAAAGCGGGUGAAAAGCCCGCUCGCCGGAAGACCAAGGGUUCCUGUCCAACGUUAAUCGGGGCAGGGUGAGUCGACCCCUAAGGCGAGGCCGAAAGGCGUAGUCGAUGGGAAACAGGUUAAUAUUCCUGUACUUGGUGUUACUGCGAAGGGGGACGGAGAAGGCUAUGUUAGCCGGGCGACGGUUGUCCCGGUUUAAGCAUGUAGGCUGAUUGUCCAGGCAAAUCCGGAUAAUCAAGGCUGAGGUGUGAUGACGAGGCACUACGGUGCUGAAGUAACAAAUGCCCUGCUUCCAGGAAAAGCCUCUAAGCAUCAGGUAACAUCAAAUCGUACCCCAAACCGACACAGGUGGUCAGGUAGAGAAUACCAAGGCGCUUGAGAGAACUCGGGUGAAGGAACUAGGCAAAAUGGUGCCGUAACUUCGGGAGAAGGCACGCUGGUGUGUAGGUGAAGUCCCUGCGGAUGGAGCUGAGACCAGUCGAAGAUACCAGCUGGCUGCAACUGUUUAUUAAAAACACAGCACUGUGCAAACACGAAAGUGGACGUAUACGGUGUGACGCCUGCCCGGUGCCGGAAGGUUAAUUGAUGGGGUUAUCCGUAAGGAGAAGCUCUUGAUCGAAGCCCCGGUAAACGGCGGCCGUAACUAUAACGGUCCUAAGGUAGCGAAAUUCCUUGUCGGGUAAGUUCCGACCUGCACGAAUGGCGUAAUGAUGGCCAGGCUGUCUCCACCCGAGACUCAGUGAAAUUGAACUCGCUGUGAAGAUGCAGUGUACCCGCGGCAAGACGGAAAGACCCCGUGAACCUUUACUAUAGCUUGACACUGAACAUUGAGCCUUGAUGUGUAGGAUAGGUGGGAGGCUUUGAAGCGUGGACGCCAGUCUGCGUGGAGCCAACCUUGAAAUACCACCCUUUAAUGUUUGAUGUUCUAACGUUGGCCCCUUACCGGGGUUGCGGACAGUGUCUGGUGGGUAGUUUGACUGGGGCGGUCUCCUCCCAAAGCGUAACGGAGGAGCACGAAGGUUAGCUAAUCCUGGUCGGACAUCAGGAGGUUAGUGCAAUGGCAUAAGCUAGCUUGACUGCGAGCGUGACGGCGCGAGCAGGUGCGAAAGCAGGUCAUAGUGAUCCGGUGGUUCUGAAUGGAAGGGCCAUCGCUCAACGGAUAAAAGGUACUCCGGGGAUAACAGGCUGAUACCGCCCAAGAGUUCAUAUCGACGGCGGUGUUUGGCACCUCGAUGUCGGCUCAUCACAUCCUGGGGCUGAAGUAGGUCCCAAGGGUAUGGCUGUUCGCCAUUUAAAGUGGUACGCGAGCUGGGUUUAGAACGUCGUGAGACAGUUCGGUCCCUAUCUGCCGUGGGCGCUGGAGAAUUGAGGGGGGCUGCUCCUAGUACGAGAGGACCGGAGUGGACGCAUCACUGGUGUUCGGGUUGUCAUGCCAAUGGCACUGCCCGGUAGCUAAAUGCGGAAGAGAUAAGUGCUGAAAGCAUCUAAGCACGAAACUUGCCCCGAGAUGAGUUCUCCCUGAGACUUUAAGUCUCCUGAAGGAACGUUAAAGACGAUGACGUUGAUAGGCCGGGUGUGUAAGCGCAGCGAUGCGUUGAGCUAACCGGUACUAAUGAACCGUGAGGCUUAACCUUACAACGCCGAAG
rnacentral:rRNA from 1 species